rnacentral:rRNA from 1 species
AGCAGCCGCGGUAAUUCCAGCUCCAAUAGCGUAUAUUAAAGUUGUUGCAGUUAAAAAGCUCGUAGUUGAAUUUCGGGAUCAAGGAAUCGGUCAUGCCUUGGUAUGUACUGGUUUUAUUGGUUCUCACCUUCUAAAGAACCAUAAUGUCAUUCAUUUGAUGUUAUGGGGAAUUAGGACUGUUACCUUGAAAAAAUUAGAGUGUUUAAAGCAGGCUUACGCUUGAAUACAUUAGCAUGGAAUAAUGAAAUAGGACAUCAGAUUCUAUUUUGUUGGUUUCUAGGAUCGAUGUAAUGAUUAAUAGGGAUAGUUGGGGGCAUUAGUAUUCAAUUGUCAGAGGUGAAAUUCUUGGAUUUAUUGAAGACUAACUACCGCGAAAGCAUUUGCCAAGGAUGUUUUCAUUAAUCAAGAACGAAAGUUAGGGGAUCGAAGACGAUCAGAUACCGUCGUAGCCUUAACCAUAAACUAUGCCGACUAGGGAUCGGACGAAGUUAAUUUUAUAAUGACGCGUUCGGCACCUUAC